UGCCAGCCGCCGCGGUAAGACGAAGGUGGCAACCGUUGUUCGGAAUUACUGGGCAUAAAGAGCACGUAGGCGGACUACCAAGUCGGGUGUGAAAUCCCUCGGCCCAACCGAGGAACUGCGCCCGAAACUGCUUUUCUUGAGGGCAGGAGGGGAACGUGGAAUUCCUGGUGGAGCGGUGAAAUGCGUUGAUAUCAGGAGGAACACCGGCGGCGAAGGCGACGUUCUGGCCUGUUUCUGACGCUGAAGUGCGAAAGCGUGGGUAGCAAACAGGAUUAGAUA
rnacentral:rRNA from 1 species